GGACUCGUUACAUUUUCGAGACCCUUGAUCCACAGCUCGUCGACAAGCUUCAAGUGCUCUAGCUCAGAAAUGCUAGCACAGUGUUCGACGCGGUCUUGCUUGCCAACCACAAAAACCGGUAAUUUCUGCAAGCUAACUAACUUGCCGAUCCCUCGAGGCAUGCCCUUCAAUUCCGAGCAAUUGUUGUUUAGCAAGACUCUAAGUUUGGUCAGCUUUUGGAUCAUUUUAGGCAGCUCACAUAAUUUUUCACAACCACUGAUGUCGAGUUUCUCUAAAUGCAGAAGAUCACUUGACGAUGAGGGUAAUGGUAGUAGGGAAUAGCACCCAGAAAGGUUCAGAAUACGCAAGUUUUGAAGGCUUCCAAUGGAUUCAGGUAAUGUCACCAAAGAAUUUAGACAGUAUAG
rnacentral:lncRNA from 1 species